rnacentral:tRNA from 1 species
GUCAGGAUGGCCGAGCGGUCUAAGGUGCCAGACUCAAGUUUCCAAACUCGUUCCGCUAAUGGACAGCCAAAGGGCGUUCUGGUCUACUAAUGUGGGCGUGGGUUCGAAACCCACUCGUGACA